rnacentral:rRNA from 1 species
GUAAAAGUCGUAACAAGGUUUCCGUAGGUGAACCUGCGGAAGGAUCAUUAAAGAGUAAGGGUGCUCAGCGCCCGACCUCCAACCCUUUGUUGUUAAAACUACCUUGUUGCUUUGGCGGGACCGCUCGGUCUCGAGCCGCUGGGGAUUCGUCCCAGGCGAGCGCCCGCCAGAGUUAAACCAAACUCUUGUUAUUAAACCGGUCGUCUGAGUUAAAAUUUUGAAUAAAUCAAAACUUUCAACAACGGAUCUCUUGGUUCUCGCAUCGAUGAAGAACGCAGCGAAAUGCGAUAAGUAAUGUGAAUUGCAGAAUUCAGUGAAUCAUCGAAUCUUUGAACGCACAUUGCGCCCCUUGGUAUUCCGAGGGGCAUGCCUGUUCGAGCGUCAUUACACCACUCAAGCUAUGCUUGGUAUUGGGUGCCGUCCUUAGUUGGGCGCGCCUUAAAGACCUCGGCGAGGCCUCACCGGCUUUAGGCGUAGUAGAAUUUAUUCGAACGUCUGUCAAAGGAGAGGACUUCUGCCGACUGAAACCUUUUAUUUUUCUAGGUUGACCUCGGAUCAGGUAGGGAUACCCGCUGAACUUAAGCAU